UGGAGGAUAACCUCGGGAAACUGAGAAUAAUACUCCAUAGGUCUAGGAUGCUGGAAUGCACUUAGACUUAAAACUUCGGUGCCUAAGGAUGAGUCUGCGGACUAUCAGGUUGUAGUCAGGGUAAAGACCUGACUAGCCUACGACGGAUAUGGGUUGUGAGAGCAAUAACCCAGAGAUGAUAUCUGAGACACGAUAUCAGGCCCUACGGGGCGCAGCAGGCGCGAAAACUUCACACUGCGCGAAAGCGCGAUGAGGGAAUCCCAAGUGCUUGCACGUAAGUGUAAGCUGUUUCUAUGUGUAAAUUGCAUAGAGAGUAAGGGCUGGGUAAUACGGGUGCCAACCGCCGCGGUAAUACCUGCAGCUCAAGUGGUGACCG
rnacentral:rRNA from 1 species